rnacentral:lncRNA from 1 species
CUCUAACAUUCUAUGAUGAUUCUUUCCUCCAAAGAAUUCCACUAGCAAUACAGAGUAAAGACAUAGCACAUAUGUACAAAACUUACUCCGUUUAUAUUAAAUUCCACAUUCCUGCAGGGGUAUGUAAUGUCUGUUGCCCUUCAGUCGACUCCCUACUCCAAUGUUUGUUUACAAUCAUCAGAGCAUGGACAGCUAUUUUUAAACCUGGCUUUUCAUGUAAGAAGGUUAAAACUCAAACUGAAUUUGAUUUGUUGGAGAAUUCAAAUCCUCAGGAUUAUGGCAGGAAAAAAGAGAAACGCUUUCAUCUCAGACCAAGGGUGAGGCUGGCCACUCCUGGUUGGUAAGCUAUUUUCUUUUCUGUCCUAUGCUCAUUACAUCUGGACAAGUGGGUAUUUGGAUUCAGGGAUUUUCAUGAAGAUUGAUCCUUCCUCUAUAGGCUGAAACUAUUAUCCUUAUCUUCAUAUUUGAAUUUAGUGUAUGAGUAGUGGCAUGGAUAGUAUAGUAGGAGUAACAGCAUCCACAUCAGUCUCAGAAGUCAUCUACUUCAUUUCAGCUUUCACCAGAGAAUCCUUCACUGAGGGCCAUCAAUCACUUAUUCAGCUUCAUUCAGGAAUAUAUCAUUGGUAUUCAUUCCUUAUGUAGAAGCUUGUGGUGAAGUGGUGAUUGCUUGGCAUGAUUUUGGAAUAAUUGAGUCAUUGAUCAUCAUAGGACUGAAAUCUUACUUUUUUUUUGACAGGUAGAGUUAUAGACAAUGAGAGAGAGAGAAACAGAGAAAGAGGUCUUCCUUCCAUUGGUUCACUCCCCAAAUGGCCACUACGGCCGGCGCUGCGCCGAGCCGAAGCCAGGAGCCAGGUGCUUCUUCCUGGUCUCCCAUGUGGGUGCAGGAGCCCAAACACUGGGCCAUCCUCCACUGCCCUUCCAGGCCACAGCAGAGAGCUGGACUGGAAGAGGAGCAACUAGGACUAGAACCUGGUGCCCAUAUGGGAUGCCGGCGCCACAGGCAGAGGAUUAACCAAGUGAGCCACGGCGCCGGCCCUGAUAUCUUACUCUUAAACUACAUAGCAAAAUGAAAUAGUAUCUACUGUUUUUUCAGGCGCUGUGAUGGAUGGCAGAGUUCUUUCCCUUAAUGAAAUUACAAAGUAAUGGAGAACAAAGACACAUAAAUAGAUAAUCAGAAUAUGGGAUUUGCUUGUUCUUUUAGAAGAGAGCACAAGAGUUUGUGGAAACACAAAAAGGAUGUUGGUAUUACUAGAAGAAUUAGAUGUGAUAUUGCCAUCAAAGAUACAUUUGAACUGAAUUGUGAAAGAUGAGUUCAAACAAUAGCUACACUGUUAGAACAUUCUA